rnacentral:rRNA from 1 species
GACGAACGCUGGCGGCGUGCUUAACACAUGCAAGUCGAACGGUAAGGCCCUUCGGGGUACACGAGUGGCGAACGGGUGAGUAACACGUGGGUGAUCUGCCCUGCACUUCGGGAUAAGCCUGGGAAACUGGGUCUAAUACCGGAUAGGACCACUGCCUGCAUGGGUGGUGGUGGAAAGCUUUUGCGGUGUGGGAUGGGCCCGCGGCCUAUCAGCUUGUGGGUGGGGUGAUGGCCUACCAAGGCGACGACGGGUAGCCGGCCUGAGAGGGUGACCGGCCACACUGGGACUGAGAUACGGCCCAGACGCCUACGGGAGGCAGCAGUGGGGAAUAUUGCACAAUGGGCGCAAGCCUGAUGCAGCGACGCCGCGUGAGGGAUGAUGGCCUUCGGGUUGUAAACCUCUUUCAGCACCGACGAAGCGCAAGUGACGGUAGGUGCAGAAGAAGGACCGGCCAACUACGUGCCAGCCGCCGCAGUAA